CGUGACAGGAUGGAGAUGGAGGGAUGGGGCCGCUGAGGAGGAGCUGGAUCCUGCCAGCCUCCAUCCCUCAGGCUAAUGCACACAGCCUGAGCCGCCUGCAGGCACACGGUGACAUACAGAUGUACAGAAUCAACACAGAGCCUCAGCUGCUCGUCUCUGGUCUCCAGCGUUUUCAUAUCUACCUUUUUUGGUGCCAUGCAAGCUGCCCUAUAUGUUAGAAAAGGUUCUUUGCCCCACUGAAGGCAGCUGGAAACUUUUUGAACCCUCCCUCUCAGACAGCCCUCAGUCUGCAUUGACAUGGAAGAGUCCCUGAACAGGUCAACCAGGCACAGACUCAGGGGCCCGAUGUUUCAGGGUUCCCUCAUGAUCCUCCUCUGUGAUAAUUUAAAGAAACAUUUCCAAACCAGUAAGAGACUUAAAAUAACAACAAUGAAAACCAAGCCAACUACAAAGAGAUGCAAAACAGUUGCAAAUACAAUAAAUCACAACGAAGCUCACUGUGGAUCCUCUUUUACCUCCCCUCUGAAAUCAGAAACAGAAUGCGUUUAUUAGUCCCACAAAGGGGAGAUUUUCAAAAGCUAAGGAGCCAAGACAGCUUAAUAUCACUCAAGGAGCAUUCAUACAAAAAAUGCAAUUAGAAAUUACACAAUAUACAAAUUACACAUCCAGUACCAGUAACAGCUUAGCGAUAGAGCAGCCAGAUGAAAGUACAACAGGGGGUAGAAUAAAUUGCAGAGCUAUUUAUGGUAUACGAUUCACCUGAGUCACACAGGUCUUUACUUCCCUCUUCUCUUCCUCCACCGUCUGAACUGUUGUCAUUCACUGAGGACAGAACGAUAAGCAUGAGCUUCUGAACUAUAGUGAAAGUGUCCUAUAGUUUAUAAUGUGAAAGCAAAGUAUGACAUCAGUGUAAAUCUCUACAUCUGUAUCAAUGUUUAUCCACAUGUUAUUUAAAUAUUGUUUUACUAACCAUUCUUUACUUUUACCCUGCUACACCGUGGACAAUAUCAAUAUUAAUGUCUAUACUUCUCUAUCACCUGAGCGCCUGCUGUCCAGGGUUACCUUGACAACCAUGAUGUAGCAGGACAAGCUGACAGCAGAGGGCAGGACUUCUCUUGAGACGGUGGAAAUUCCGUGGCCUUUGAGAGUGAAGACAACGAAACCACACAGCACCGUCAUCAGAGUUCGGACACACUCACUCUCACUGUGUUGUUGUUGAAUUCAAUAAAACACUCGGAC